rnacentral:rRNA from 1 species
CAGUCGAACGAGUUCUCGUUGAUGAUCGGUGCUUGCACCGAGAUUCAACAUGGAACGAGUGGCGGACGGGUGAGUAACACGUGGGUAACCUGCCCUUAAGUGGGGGAUAACAUUUGGAAACAGAUGCUAAUACUGCAUAGAUCCAAGAACCGCAUGGUUCUUGGCUGAAAGAUGGCGUAAGCUAUCGCUUUUGGAUGGACCCGCGGCGUAUUAGCUAGUUGGUGAGGUAAUGGCUCACCAAGGCGAUGAUACGUAGCCGAACUGAGAGGUUGAUCGGCCACAUUGGGACUGAGACACGGCCCAAACUCCUACGGGAGGCAGCAGUAGGGAAUCUUCCACAAUGGACGCAAGUCUGAUGGAGCAACGCCGCGUGAGUGAAGAAGGCUUUCGGGUCGUAAAACUCUGUUGUUGGAGAAGAAUGGUCGGCAGAGUAACUGUUGCCGGCGUGACGGUAUCCAACCAGAAAGCCACGGCUAACUACGUGCCAGCAGCCGCGGUAAUACGUAGGUGGCAAGCGUUAUCCGGAUUUAUUGGGCGUAAAGCGAGCGCAGGCGGUUUUUUAAGUCUGAUGUGAAAGCCCUCGGCUUAACCGAGGAAGCGCAUCGGAAACUGGGAAACUUGAGUGCAGAAGAGGACAGUGGAACUCCAUGUGUAGCGGUGAAAUGCGUAGAUAUAUGGAAGAACACCAGUGGCGAAGGCGGCUGUCUGGUCUGUAACUGACGCUGAGGCUCGAAAGCAUGGGUAGCGAACAGGAUUAGAUACCCUGGUAGUCCAUGCCGUANACGAUGAAUGCUAGGUGUUGGAGGGUUUCCGCCCUUCAGUGCCGCAGCUAACGCAUUAAGCAUUCCGCCUGGGGAGUACGACCGCAAGGUUGAA